rnacentral:rRNA from 1 species
CCGCGGUAAUACGAAGGGUGCAAGCGUUACUCGGAAUUACUGGGCAUAAAGCGUGCGUAGGUGGUUUGUUAAGUCUGAUGUGAAAGCCCCGGGCUCAACCUGGGAACUGCGUUUGGUACUGGCAAGCUAGAGUACGGCAGAGGGGGGUGGAAUUCCACGUGUAGCAGUGAAAUGCGUAGAGAUGUGGAGGAACACCGAUGGCGAAGGCAGCCCCCUGGGCCGAUACUGACGCUCAGGCACGAAAGCGUGGGGAGCAAACAGG